rnacentral:tRNA from 1 species
GCACUCGUUGUAUAGCGGUUAGUAUCUCAGCCUGCCACGUUGGGGAGCCGGGUUCAAAUCCCGGCGAGUGCACCA